UUGCAUAUCAAAAAGCGGAGGAAAGGAAACCAACUGGGAUUACCUUAGUAACGGCGAGUGAAGCGGUAAAAGCUCAAAUUUGAAAUCUGGUACUUUCAGUGCCCGAGUUGUAAUUUGUAGAAUUUGUCUUUGAUUAGGUCCUUGUCUAUGUUCCUUGGAACAGGACGUCAUAGAGGGUGAGAAUCCCGUUUGGCGAGGAUACCUUUUCUCUGUAAGACUUUUUCGAAGAGUCGAGUUGUUUGGGAAUGCAGCUCAAAGUGGGUGGUAAAUUCCAUCUAAAGCUAAAUAUUGGCGAGAGACCGAUAGCGAACAAGUACAGUGAUGGAAAGAUGAAAAGAACUUUGAAAAGAGAGUGAAAAAGUACGUGAAAUUGUUGAAAGGGAAGGGCAUUUGAUCAGACAUGGUGUUUUUUGCAUGCACUCGCCUCUCGUGGGCUUGGGCCUCUCAAAAAUUUCACUGGGCCAACAUCAAUUCUGGCAGUAGGAUAAAUCAUUAAGAAUGUAGCUACCUCGGUAGUGUUAUAGCUUAUUGGAAUACUGCUAGCUGGGAUUGAGGACUGCGCUUCGGCAAGGAUGUUGGCAUAAUGGUUAAAUGCCGCCCGUCUUGACC
rnacentral:rRNA from 1 species